GGGCCCGUAGCUCAGUUGGUUAGAGCAGAGGACUCAUAAUCCUUUGGUCCACGGUUCAAGUCCGUGCGGGCCCA
rnacentral:tRNA from 1 species